UACACAUCGCUGUCUCCCUCUCUCAAUUAGCAUCCUCAUCAUCUCCCCUUUAAACAGCCAAACAAGGGUGCGGCUGCUGCUUUCUUUUUGUUUUCCUCGCCAAGCAAGAAAAGCGCUGGAGGAAGCAGCGGCAGUGGCUUUUAGUCCCUCCUCGCUGCCAGCGCUCAGCGAGGAACAACAGCCCUCCGCCCAACCCCCCCCGGACGGUAAAGAAGAGGCCAGCGGAAGUGAAGACACAAAGAAGUGAGACGAGCGCGUCUUCGCUUUCGCAUCACAUUCUUUUUCUCUAGCGUCCUCUCUUGGGCCUUUGCGGUCAUUAUUUCUUGCUGUCUCGCACGCAUCCGCAUGCGCGGGGCCCGCCGUGGCUGAGCGAAGAGGCUUCCUCAUGCUCGUUUUGUUGGCGAUCUCUUCUCCCCCUCUUCACCAGACUUGGCAAAGAGAAAGAGCGAAGUGUUCUUAUCUGCUUCGCAGCCUUCCCCGUAGCUGCACCGCCCUCUCUCCGCUCCCCACUUUGCGCGCGUGUCUGUGCGUGUGUGUUCUGUGUUCAUUUGCCACCCGUUUAGACUUUUUCUUGUGUGUUGCGCUCUAAUUUUUCUUUCUUCGUUUCUAGAAUCUCCUCCCUCCCGCCCCCGCCCUCCAGCACCGCCAUCCCUCUCUCCACCGGUCACACGUGCCAGUGUGCGCUGGCUUCUGGAGUCUGCCUGCCGUAUCGCUCUUGCUGCGUACUUGCACCUUUCUCUUCUUGUGUUUCUCUCACUUCGUAGGCGCUACCCAUCGUCGUAUUACCUGGCUGGUGGUUGCCGUGCUAGUGUCCUUGUGUUCGCGUGCGUGUACGUUUGUAGCCGCUUUUUGAUCCGUCGUCCCACUCCGCCUUUCCUGCACCUUUCUCUCUGUCGACUCCCGCCGCUGUGGCGCAUAACAUUUUUUCCCCUCCGCACUUUGCUCUUCUUUAUUAUCCUUUUUUUUUUCACGCGAGGGGACAUUUGUGGCGGUCGCUUGCGUGUGGGUGUGCGUGCUCGCAGGCUCGUGCUUCUUCUGUGCCUCCGAUCGCCCCUCAUCUCUAUCCGCUCCUCUUUCUGUUCUCUCCCUCUCUCACUCACUUCUCUCUCCACGUGCCUGGCUUUUCUCUGCUGCUGUUGGUCACCGCCGUCCCCUCACUGCCCGGACCCUUUCCCCUGUGGUGCUACCUCGUGUGAACUGAAUUCUUGUUUUCUUUUUUCCUCUCCUCAACCGCAGACAUUGAGCUUCGACGUUUAUGCUGCGCCCGUUCCAACGCCAACAACAAAAAGUUGGCUAUGUUCCGCUGUGAGGAGGCGACGUUUUACGCUGGUGUAGCCCUUCUCUGUGGCGUGGUGGCUCUCUUUGCCGUGACUCGUGCCUUCCUCUAUGCGCUCGGUGUCCUUGUUAGCCACGUGGUGAGGGAUGGCUGCUUUCCGCCCUUACUGGAGCAUAGCGUGUGCGCGGCAGCACUGAUCACCGCUGUCGUUCUCUUUGGUAAUGUCAGCGCCCUCCUAUCGUGGAUGGUGCUGCUCGCCACCGUCACCAGCGGUGCGCUCUGCUGGUCGCUAAGGAGUUUCCGCUGGAUGGGCGUGAGCAGCUUCGUGUUCUACUCAAUCGCCUUGAUGCAUGUGGUUGGCCCUGCAUUUGUCGAGGAGGUGAACCUGACCAGGCUAGAGGUGUCUGCACUCGUGCAGGGCCAACGAGUGCUGAUCCCUUCGCUGCCCCCGCCACGCACUGCGGAUGAGUCGCCCUCGUCACUGUCGUCGUUGCCCGCUCUGCGCAUCUACGCAUACUAUGACAAAGUGAAGAUCGAGGGAAGUGCGUCGCCUCUGGCCACCUCAACGGUGUCGGCUGCGUCGCUCAGACUACCGCUGGAGCUGCCACCGUGGUGGACACACGGCGUGCGGGGAGUCAGCGAGUGCAACGGAAGCGUGAAGAAGUGCUCGCGGGGCGAUCGCAUCACGCAAGGCGCCGAGCUCCCUUUUCCCACGCACCACAUAAUAGCCAGCGGUGAUGACACGCAGCUGUCGCACUACACGUGUGGCAUCGAUAUCGCUGCAUCUGCCCUGGCGGGCAGUGACAGCAUCCAUUUGGUCGGCCGCCGUGGCGCCAUUCGGCACAGUCAUGUGUACUGUAUCAUUCCAGGCAAAGGCGCCGACCCCAUGCGCCCGUCAGCGACCACUGUGUCUUCGCUCGUAUAUGUGCGCUGUCUGCGGCUGCGGGAAAACAUCCUGCUGCACAACGUCACCAUUUACUGGGCUGCUUAUCCGUCGUCAUCGUCAUCGCCGCCUACAUUUGCAGAGGCGGAGCGCAGAGCGGACUCGUCGAGUAGCGCACCUUAUGCUUGGCGGUCGCUCCAUGUAGGCGCUGACUCUGAGCAGACAUGCGUGGAAGUGCAGGCUCAGCUGCAAGGAGAGCUUGGCAUGGCUGUUACCUCGUCGCUAAUUGAGUGUGUCGACGAGGUAGACAUGGCAAAGUUGCCGCCGUCGUUUGUCGCCAAGGCACCGCUGCUCGUGUGGCUUGGGUGGCAGCUCCCCGGCUACGUGCACCGUGUGCAGGACAUCCUCCUCUUCUUCUCGAGUCACGUCGCCGCACCGGCAUCGGCGCUGGUUGUGGUGGUAUGUCGCAUGAGCUACAAGGCCGCGUCCGCGCUGGGGCAACAGUGUGGGGUUUGGCUGGUGCAGAUGGCGCCAUACGUGAAGCAUGGGGCGGAGCAAGUCGCUGUAUUUGCGGAAGGAGCUCUGUGCGGUUCCUCUGCGCGACGAGAGGCGUUGAUCGGCGCAGAGGAAGGCGCCGUCGAUGCACGGAGGGCCGUGCUGCGCGCUAUGGCGACUCCGUCGUCGGGGUGUGCCGCUUUUACGCGCGCGCACGCGACGCGCUCAGCCUUCCGCGCCGGCGCACAAAUGCGUACGUCCGUCGUCUCCGCCGUGUCUGCCGCCGUGGACGGCCUCGACCUGGUGCCGGGUGUGUGGUCCGUGUAUGCUUGGGCGUGGAGGGCGGAGCACCGCGUCACGCUAUGGAUCGUUGCGGCGCUACAGAACGCCUUUUGUUUCGCGUUGUGCGUAGUGCUGCAGCCGAUUGCCCGAUCGCUGAUCAUCGCCGCGCAAGACUGUGCGGCUCUGGCGCCCAAGUUCGUCGUUUUACUGCGCUGUCUGGGGCGAGCUAUUUCUCAGCUCCGCAUCUUAACCUACUUUGCACGCUGCUGCACUUUCAUGUGGGCGCUGGAGAAGCGUGUGUGGCACUACGAGUGGGCCGCGCUCGAGCUCGUACUGACCUUUCUCGUAGUCCAGUGCGAGACGGUGGCUUGUGUAUUCGCCAAGCACACUGUCGUGGGUGUUGGCUGGGCGAACAGUCUAGUGCGACACUACAACGCCACUUCCUUUUCUAUUCACAUAGCUGUAACCUUCCUUCAGACGGCGCUUCUGGGGAUCGCGAUGCGCAACGAGCUGCGCAUGUUUGUCGUGGCAGAGCAGCAGCAAGCGCCGGCCCGCAACUUGUUUUCUCGCUACAUGCCGAGCAGCUUGGCAACGUGGCUGCCGCCGAGCUCCUUUGCGAAUCAUGUCAACGGAUUCUGGAUGCUGGUGCGUGCCCAUCUCGUUGAGUGUGUGCGGUAUUUCCUGCUGCAUGCAGUGGCCGCUUUGGUGCUAAUCGGCCUGUCUGUGCUGCCCUUCGCCAGCAAGCUGUAUGCCCUGUCUCUUCGCUACCUGUUCCCUUGGCUGUCGUGUCAGUACUUCCUCGCCUUCUUCUCGCCCGAUCUACCGGCGGUGCGACGCGUCGCGGUGUACUUCGUCGGUCGCAUGGCCGUUGCAGCGGUGCUGCAGGACACUAUCGGUGAUUUCAUUUACCGUGUGCUGAAAGACUUACUGAUAGCCGUGGGACUAACCGGUGGUCUCGCGCUGCUGCUGUGGGGCUGGCCGCAGCGCGCGACGCUGGCAAAGCAGGUGGCGACGGCCAUCGCGGACAGCCUUCAGACUACCCCAAUGCCGGCGCGUGUGAGCGUGACAGCGGCUGCCGACUGCAGCGACGCAGGGUUGAGGGUCGCAGAGGAAGCCGCGGAAGACGAGGAGGCGCGGCAGCGGGACGUCUCUGUAGCAAAGCAAAUCGACCUUACCGACGCCGCUUGAUUGCGUAGCGCAAGCUGCGCGUUCGCCAUCAGGAGGCGAGCGUACGAAGGCACGAUCACCAGCACUAUAGGAGGAAGACGAGGGACGCAACCCUAUAAACUCGCCGCGCCCAGUGUAUGCGCCCCUGUGGUGUGCUCAGGUCAGCACGCGCAAUACAGCUCCUCUUCCUCUCACGUUCCCCAGCCACUCAUUCGAAAAAAAAAGCUACGAAGCCUCUGUCAAGCGGUGCGAUAUACAUGUGCGCGUGUGUGCACGCGGCGUCGUCGGGGCUUCAUCAAAAGAAAGCGAAGCGGCGAAGUAGCGCACAACUCGC
rnacentral:misc_RNA from 1 species